AACAGCAGCAGGAGCAGUAGCAGUGGUGGUGGUGGUGGUGGUAAUAGUGUAGCAGCAGCAGCAGUACUAUUUAUACUAAUAGUAGCCAUAACAGUAACAGCACUGGCAACAGCAGUAGCAGCAGUAGUAAGGAGUAUGGAAGGACGCUAUAACACUACCAUUAUCCCUUCCACAUUGCAACUUUCCCCAUAGCGGUGAUGUGUCAUCAGCAGGCGAGAGAAAUUAAAGGGGGAUUUGAGGAGAGUUUUUCAGAAGCCAAAGAUAACAUAAGAAGACUAGCAGAUGACACAGAGCCUAUGACCAAAUACUUAGCCCAGAUUUUACAGGAGGUUCCUAUAAACACCUCAUGAGAGAAAAAGAAAAAAAUCAGACUUCUUCUUUAGUAUGAAGAUAGGGUCAAAAAAUCUUGUGUAGAUUUUCCAGAUCAGAGAGGCUCUGCUCCCCAACCCCUGUGAUGUGGAAGAGGAUAACUGUAAUUAGCACCAGAACCAGAAUUCCAGAGGACUGAUGGUGACUAAUACUUCCUGCCUAUCAACAGAGAAGUGAUGGACUUUUGGUAUAGAACGAGACAUACACUGUCACAUGUGGCCCUGUGUAAGUUGCUUGGUUUUGCUCUAUUUCUUGGUUACAUUUGUUACAUAUCUUUGUUUCUUUGUACCUAUGGGAGAGAGGGUAGGCAAGUCAUUGUGAAGUUUCAACAGUGUUAAAAAGCCCGAGUCCUCCCUACAGAGGUUUCAUGAGACAAAGAAACCGAGAGGGUCUUCACAAACAACAGAACCCCAGUGCAAAACAUUUCAAAAGAAAAGAAUUCUUGCUAAGUGCAAAAAAUACUGUAUCAAGAAUACUGUCCUGCCAUUGUUUGUCUCUAAACUUUGCUGCUGCUGAAAUCCCAAGGACAAAGGGACAGGAAACAGGAUUGUUCUGGAACAGUCUGGAUGUUAUUCUACCGAGCAUGUACAAGCCUACAAAGCAGAAGAGUCAGAAACACAUACAAGACACCCCCUCCCCAGAUUUCCUACUUAUUCAUCAUGAGAUCUUGGGAAGGUUACUUCUUUAUACUGUAAAAUUCUAUAUAGGGACCAGAUGAUCUCCAAGGAUGCUUCUGGCUCCCGAUCCCAUGAUCCAAUCUUCCAGAAGUUUAUGGGUUUAUUAAGAAAAUUAGACGCACUGACAUUGGCCUAUCUCAUCUGCUUUGCAAUGUUUCCU
rnacentral:lncRNA from 1 species